rnacentral:misc_RNA from 1 species
GGAAGUAAAAGUCGUAAUAAGGUCUCCGUUGGUGAACCAGCGGAGGGAUCAUUACAGGACUCGCAAGACUCCUACAACCCUGUGAACUUAACUAUAAGCACGUUGCUUCGGCGGGUGUCUCGGAGGGGGUUCUCCCUCCUCGAGACGCUAAACCCGCCGGCAGCCUACUAUACUCUGUCUCGUUGCGUUGGCAUCUCGAGUACAAUCAAACAAGUUAAAACUUUCAACAACGGAUCUCUUGGUUCUG